AUUGAACGCUGGCGGCAUGCCUUACACAUGCAAGUCGAACGGUAACAGGUUAAGCUGCCGAGUGGCGAACGGGUGAGUAAUGUAUCGGAACGUGCCCAGUCGUGGGGGAUAACUGCUCGAAGGAGCAGCUAAUACCGCAUACGACCUGAGGGUGAAAGCGGGGGAUCGCAAGACCUCGCGCGAUUGGAGCGGCCGAUAUCAGAUUAGGUAGUUGGUGAGGUAAAGGCUCACCAAGCCGACGAUCUGUAGCUGGUCUGAGAGGACGACCAGCCACACUGGGACUGAGACACGGCCCAGACUCCUACGGGAGGCAGCAGUGGGGAAUUUUGGACAAUGGGCGCAAGCCUGAUCCAGCCAUGCCGCGUGCGGGAAGAAGGCCUUCGGGUUGUAAACCGCUUUUGUCAGGGAAGAAAAGGUUCUGGCUAAUACCUGGGACUCAUGACGGUACCUGAAGAAUAAGCACCGGCUAACUACGUG
rnacentral:rRNA from 1 species